AUGACUGUAAGGGGGUUCGUGAAAGAAGCGUGUAUCAAAGUUCCGAACCUACGAACAGAAAUCGGAUAUAAGGCUGUGGCGGCGGGAGAGGGCGCCGAUGUGUCUUAACCCAACAGGCAGACGUAGCCAAAGCAGUAAAUCAGGAGGUCAUGGAACGAAAGAAGUGCAC
rfam:Faecalibaculum rodentium strain Alo17, complete genome.